CUACUGGCAUGUUUGCAAAAUAGCACAAGGUGCUGUAAAAUGAAGAUAUAUUGUUAAAUAUCAUGAGAUAGAAAUAAAAGAUGAAGAUCUAGCUGUACCCGUCCCGAGCCACACUACUGCAGCCACGUUGCUGCUGGGAUUUUUGCAAAAUAGCACAAGGUCACAACAAUUGAUGUAACAACCAGCACCAGGACCAGGCACCUGCACCAUGAUUCUUUGGAAUACUAAAAUUCGUCUCUUUAUG
rnacentral:lncRNA from 1 species